CCAUCCCACGCCCCCCCUGGAGGAUAAGGCUGCGCCAUGCCCCCCUCGACCGAACCCUAGCCCCCACUCGAACUCCCCUUUCCCUUUGGUCACAACUUGGAGUUCGCCUGAUCUCAUGGUCGCCAUGCCGUCGUCGUAGCCGCGACCAUCGUGCGCCUCUUCGCCGGGGGAGACGUCCAGCAGAACCGUCGUCGUCCACUUCUUCAUCUCCACCCACGAGAUCGAGCCCGGAGCCACCGCAUCGACCGGACGAGGUCUUCUUCAAGCUCUGCCCCGCCGCUCGUCAUCUUUGAUUUCGACCUCAUUGAAGCCUCCCCGAGCCCGCUGACUUUCUCUACAGCUGCGAUACAUCGAGACCGACGCCGCUGCUACCCAAUAUGACUACGGUGUUGACGACCCCUCUCUCUUGCCAGAGCAACCAGAUGUUGGAGCCCAGGAGCCAGACGCCACCUUCGACGACGACUCCUACUACACCGGAGGUGCCUACUACUACGUGAUGCCCGCUGACGACGACCAGGAGUAGUUUAGGAGGAUCCCAGGCAGGAGGCAUGUGCCUCUUUCGAUCUGUAUCCCAGUUUGUGCUAGCCUUCUUAAGGCAAACUUGUUUAACUUAUGUCUGUACUCAGAUAUUGUUGCUUCCGCUGACUCGUCUAUGAUCGAGCUCUUGUAUUCGAGCCCUUGAGGCCCCUAGCUUGUAAUAUGAUGCUUGUAUGACUUAUUUUAUUUGUAGAGUUGUGUUGUGAUAUCUUCCCGUGAGUCCCUGAUCUUGA
rnacentral:rRNA from 1 species